CAGCAGCCUACCACGAGCGUCCGUGA
rnacentral:sRNA from 1 species